rnacentral:rRNA from 1 species
CCUACGGGGGGCAGCAGUGAGGAAUAUUGGUCAAUGGCCGGAAGGCUGAACCAGCCAAGCCGCGUGAAGGACGAAGGUUCCAAGCAUUGUAAACUUCUUUUGUCAAGGGACAAAAUCAGGCUCGAGAGCCUGACCGAGGGUACUUGAAGAACAAGCAUCGGCUAACUCCGUGCCAGCAGCCGCGGUAAUCCGGAGGAUACGAGCGUUAUCCGGAUUUAUUGGGUUUAAAGGGUGCGUAGGCGGGCUGUUAAGUCAGCGGUAAAAGCCCGGGGCUCAACCCCGGCGAGCCGUUGAAACUGGCUGUCGUGAGAGGGGGAGAGGUAGGCGGAAUGCGCAGUGUAGCGGUGAAAUGCUUAGAUAGUGCGCAGAACUCCGAUUGCGAAGGCAGCAUACCGGAGGCGAUCUGACGCUGAGGCACGAAAGCGUGGGUAUCGAACAGGAUUAGAUACCCGUGUAGUC